CGUAGGAGGCGAGCGUUAUCCGGAUUCACUGGGCGUAAAGCGCGUGCAGGUGGUUCGGUAAGUUGGGCGUGAAAUCUCCCGGCUCAACUGGGAGAGGUCGUUCAAUCCUACCGAACUUGAGAGCAGAAGAGGAAGAUGGAAUUCCCGGUGUAGUGGUGAAAUGCGUAGAUAUCGGGAGGAACACCAGUGGCGAAGGCGAUCUUCUGGUCUGUUUCUGACACUCAGACGCGACAGCUAGGGUAGUAAACGGGAUUAGAGACCCCGGUAAUCCUAGCCGUAAACGAUGUGAACUUGGCGUUGGUGGGUUAAACUCCAUCAGUGCCGAAGCAAACGCGAUAAGUUCACCGCCUGGGGACUACGGCCGCAAGGUUA
rnacentral:rRNA from 1 species